rnacentral:lncRNA from 1 species
GUGGUAUUUUCACUUCUCAUUUUAGGACUUUUGGGUGUGAUGUGUGUGUGUGUGUGUGUGUGUGUGUGUUUUAAAAAAAGCCAAUCUAGUAAAUUAAUCAUGGAUCAGAGAGGGCAGCAUGUGCGCACGCGGGGCCUUGAAGAUUAAAUUCUUGGGACUCAGAAGAACAAAUAUUAUAAAGUACAUUUUAUGUAUUGGAAAAGGAAUAGCUACUAUAAUGAAUUUUUAAGUUAGCAAUUUGUUUAGUCUCUAGAGGUUCUGGCAGCUUGCUAAGGUUAUGGGGGUAAAAAGCACCUGCAGAGAAGAAUUCUCAGUCAGAAUCAACAUUUAAAAUAGUGGUGUGUUAAUGCUUAAAAAGAAAUUCUACAUGCAUUUUUAACAAGUUCUAGCUUUUGGAGCUGGAUCUAAUGAAUGAUGCUCCAAGAGGUCGAGCCAGCUUGCCAUUUUGCAGGCUCCAGUUUCCAUUAUUCAUGUCCUUUCCAAUAGAGUCUAUGGCACAUUCUUAAAUUAAAGACUUCAUGUUGCUAAAGUACAGUCUGGUACCUGUACGGAGACAUAUGGCAAAUGUCAUUGAGCCUCCACUUUUUAAAGACCCCGCCAUUCUUAUUUAGGAAUAAUCAGCCAUUUAACUUGAAAUCAAGCAAAUGUUCAAGGAUUCUCUUCAUGGGUCUGUUCUUUGAAAAUGAAUCCUCUUAUGUGAUUAGUGGUUGAUUAAGUGCCUGAGAGGACAGAUUUCCUUGCAAUGUCAAGUGAAGAUGUGUCAUAUAAAAUCUGGUCAAAACUCAAAUGUAAAGUGAAGAUUCCAUGAUUUUUUUUUAUGAUAUUAGCACAGAGUAAUUUGAGUUUAGCAAUAGGUUAGAGAAGUUACAACCUCAUGUAUAGUUGCUUUGGCUUGAAUGUGUCUCCCCAAAAGCUCCUGUGUUGGAAACUUGUCCUCAAAUUCAUGGUACUGGGAAUAUUUGGGACAUGAUUAAAGUUAGAUGAGGUCAUGAGAGUGGGUCCCUGUUUUGGUUUGGAUGUGAGGUGUCCCCCAAAAGCUCAUAUGUGAGACAAUUCGAGAAGUUCCAGAGGAGAAAUGAUUGGGUUGUGAUUGUCUUAACCCAAUCAGUGCAUUCAUCCUGUGACAAGGAUUAACUGAGUGGUAACUGAAGUGGUAGGGUAUAGCUGGAGGAGGUGGGAAUUAGGGCAUGGCUAUGGGGUAUAUAUUUGUAUCUGGCCAGUGGAGUCUCUCUCUGCUUCCUCAUCACCAUGAGAGCUGCUCCCUCUGCCACACUCUUCCGCCAUGAUGUUGUGCCUCACCUGGAGCUCCAAGAAGUCGAGCUGGCCUUCUAUGAACUAAGACCUCUGAAUCCGUGAGCCCUCAAAUAAACUUUUCCUCCUUUAAAACUUUUCUGGUCAGAUCUUUUAGUCACAGCAGGAAAAAAAAAAAAACCUGUCUAACACAGUCCCUAUGAUGGGAUAAGUGGCUUUUAGAAAGAGGAAGAGACACCUGAGUUUUCACCCCAAAGCCCUCCCAGGUGCAGCCCUUGAUCCUGAACAUCCCAGCCUCUAGAACUAUGAGAAAUAAAUUUCUUUUCAUAAAUCACCCAGAGUCAGGUGUUCUAUGAUAACAACACAAAAUAACCAAGGCAACAGUCCUGUAGAUACAGUAAACCGUGCUUUCCAAGGGGCCAUAAAUAUGGAAAUAAGAAAUACAUAAUUACAGAAGGAGCCCCUCACAGCCUCCCUCAGGAUGGGAGAUCGAUGCCCAGACCCUGGAAGCUCUUGGCCACCACUUUAUAUUCUCUCUGAAAUCUCCCUCCUCGUUCCAGGAAUCCCCGAGGUGGCAUUUACUUGUGUUCAGGAACUUUCCACUCAACAUUUUCUGCUCUUGCCUUUUCACUAAGCUGCUUUGGUUGCCCCGAGAAUGCCCCUGGGCAGGGCCAGGUCCACACUGCGGUCUUUUGAUCUGUUGUGGGAAGGGGUGGGUCGGCUUCUUCUUCAUGCCCUUCAGUUUCAUGGUUCACUGUUCUCUCCAUCAUGAUUCAAAACCAGGGCCUUAGACUGUGAAGGGCGCAGACUCCAUCUCAUCCCAUCCCGUCCACUCAUCCCCUUGUCCCUCUCUCCUGUGUACCCCGGGACAGAAAUGCUUCUCCUUCUUUAGUCAAAAGUGAGCCCUUUUGAUGACCAGCUCACACUGACUGACAGGGCUCACUGGGUCACCGGUUCUGCAGACCACAAUCUAGGUUGGACACAGGACAUCCUGUUGCUGACACAGUUUUACUUGGAAAACAGGAACUGUUUGUUGCCAGUAUAACAGUGGGUUUUCCGACAGCUUAAAGGAUAAACAGGAUUCACCCAAGGAAUAAUAAGACUUUUGAUUAAGCUUUGAGAUUCUCAGUUGGCUGAGAUAAAUAAGAACUAUUUUUGUCCCUUGUUCCUCUCUACUACAACUGAGUACUGUAAAUAGAAAAAAGGAAAAGAAAGACUGCAGAAACUUAAAAAUACAACAUUCCAUAUUUGACCCUCAAGAAGUAACCCCUGAGAAAAAUUAUCUUCUAUCUAUUCAGCUGCCUUCUUUUUGCAUAUGUUUGUAUGCUGUCUCUUUCUUCACUUAAUAUUACUCAUACCUUUCUUUUUUUGGUGGGGUACCGGGGAUUGAACUCAGGGGCUCUCAACCACUGAGCCACAUCCCCAGCCCUUUUUUUGUAUUUUAUUAAGAGACAGGGUCUCGAUGAGUUGCUUAGUGCCUCACUGUUGCUGAGGUUGACUUUGAACUCGAGAUCCUCCUGUCUCAGCCUCCCAAACCACUGGGAUUACAGGGGUGUGCCACCGUACCUGGUUUAUGUUACCUCACACCUUUCAAUGAGGUAAAAAUAAGACCUCAUUUUAAAACACUAUUGUAUAGAAUGUUAUAAAAUAGUUAUACAAUGAUCGAGGAGUCAUCCAUUCGUGGGCAUUUGGGUUAUGAAAUAUGAUAAUUAAAAACAGCAAUAUACGAAAAGAUUAUGACUAAAAAACAACAAUGGAACGACACCAAUAUCACAUUGCAGUUUUCAGCAGAAUCAAACCUGCAUUUUGUUCUGAUAUCUCCAAUCAGUGGUUAUGGCAGGAAAGAACUCUGAGGAAGGCUCUUGUUUGUGCAGGUUCUAUCAAUCAUUUGUGUAUUUUAAUUCUGGAUUCAUUCAAGUUAUUGAUGGUUCAAGUAUAGCUGAGAACAUAAGUUCCAUGCUUGGAAUUUUCCAACGUUUUUCACUUCACAGCAAGAACCAGACCCAUUGAAUACUCACUAAUAACCAACAUCUUAACUUCUUGGGUAGUGAUUGGUUAUUUUUUGUUGAGCAGUAGAAACAGAACUGUGAGGAAUUAACUUUCUAAUUCUUCUUCCUGGUUGUGCCUUUAUGGCCUGUCAAAAGGAGAGCCUUGCACCCAGGCUUCCUACCUGGGCACCACACUCUGAGGUCCACAGGACCCUGAAUGGACCCCCACCAAGGGUUCAGAACUUAUCCCAUCAUGCCUCACUUCCCACCAGAAGGCCGCAUCCCCAGGGCUCCCAUGUGCCUGUGCCCUCUGCUACUUUUCUCUGUUUCAAUUCAUCUGGCCCAAUGUUCUGCUCUUCUUCAACCUCCUAAACUUUCCCACAGGCCCUUUGGAAUUCAAUGGUCGGUCACAGCAACGUCCCCUGUGUCAUUAACUAGCCUCAGCUGCUACUCUGACCACCAUUGCCAUCUGCUGGACCUGCCUGAAACCUGGGCACUUCCUGUGGACACCACUUCCCCUGCAGCCCUCUGUGGUAGAGGCGGUUUAUCCCUGAUGUUCUAAUAUUAGUGUUAUUACUAUUUCUCACUUGGAGGGCAGGUGAUUGUCCCCUAGCACCCUACUCCUGCUGACGGGUCUUCCUUAAAUACCCAGCUCCUUUGAGGAUUAUGCCUUCUGACUUUCCCACCCCUCUGCCUCUCCCUUGCUGCUCACUGUGGCCCCCUUCUUCCUUCACAUUCAGUGCUGACCACAGCUUGCUUCACUGUCUUCCUGUCACCAUUCACCGACUUCACUCUUGGCAAUUUGCACCCAACGCCGGGUCCCCUUGACCGGGGCUUCGUUCUCUCCACCUACCCACUGCUCCCCUCAGUCUUGACACUGAUCUUUCCAAUGGACUACCCCAAAUUAUUUAUUCAAGCAUUUACCUCUUAACUAGUAUCUUCUUUGCUCCCUGCCUGCCUACUCGGUUCCUCCAAUUCUAACAGUCCUUCAAAUUCAUUUGGACCUUUAAUUCGGGGACACGUCUCCCUCUCUUCUCUGUGUCUAUCAUCAGUUCCCUUCAAAUCCAGCUGAGGUUCCAUGGUCAUUGCUGUAAUCAUACCCGUAUUGCCAUGCUUUCCUCCUUCUCUCAGAACUGUGUACGCUCUGAACCAAGCAGCUGAAUAAUGUGGAGAAACCACUGGAGCAUAUUAACCAGCCUCUCUUCACGUUCAUGACCAGUGCAUCACAAUCCCUCAUGGCUUAUUUCCUUAGUAUGAUAGCUUUCCCAUUCCCUAGUUAACUCUUCCUCUUCUUUUCCUCUCUCCUAAUUCUCCCCACUUGUUUUGAUCCAUGCACUUGCCCUCUAUGGUGCUUAGAGAAGAUAAAUAAUAAAGCCGGGGCCCCUCAUCAUUUGAUCCCUUUCCCAUGGCAUGGCCACUCUGGGUUGCUAAUAUAAUCUCCCCUUGGAUGAUGUGUCCCCAAGCCUUCCCUGGUACCCUGGGUCCCAUCCUCUUGCAUCUCUUGGGAGACCCAUAGUUUCUCUUGGUGGCUAAGUGUUCAGGUCUUGGAGUCUAAUUACCCAAGGGCGAAUCUCAGUUUAGCCACCUUUUGGGUGUGUGAUCUUGGGAAGAUGAUGUGAUUUCUCGGGGUCUUGGGUGCCCAUCAAGUUAACGUUCCCUCUUUCACAGAGGAAUGGUGAACAUCAGAGGAAUGAUUUCUGUGAAAUGCUUAGAACGGAUGUGCUUAGCAGCAGGGGCUGUGUCUGUGUUACCUGCUACUGCCCUUUCCCUUCUUUGGCCAGGCUCCCCCUCUCCCCUGUAUCCCUCCCUUCAGCAUUCAGAGUAAAAUCUCUUCUCUCCCUGGCCCUCCAGCUACCCUCUGGUGCUCUGCUCCUCUUGACAGCAAUGCUUGCUGAACCAGGUGCCUGUCAUCUCUGCACCCUCCUCUCAAUCCUCUCCUCAGUUUCAUCCACUUGCCCUUCUGCUCCCACUGCUCCCAAGAGACAGCCACAUCAAGGUCACCAGUGACUGCUGCAUUGCUGAGAACCAUGAUAACUCUUAGAGUCUUCUUGUAUUUGCCAUCUCUGUCUUUGCAUCAGUUGUGUCUUAAUUUGUUCUGUACUGUAACAAACUACCACAAACUGGGUGACAUGAACAACAAACAUUUAUCUUUCACAGUUCUAGAUAAAAAGUCCCAGAUCAAAGCAGUAGGUGAUUUGGUGUCUGGUGAGGACCCGUUUCCUGGUUUGCAGAUGGCGUCUUUUUGCUGUUUCCUCCCAUGGCAGAAUCCAAAGAGAGGAAGCAAGCUCUUGUGUUUCUUCUUAUAAGAGAUAAUCCUGCUUAUGAGGGUUCCACCCUCAUGACCUAAUGGCUUCCCAAAGACAAAUGCUACCACAGUUGUGCUUUCUCUUCUUCAUGGAACAUUUUUUUCUAUUGCUUCUAGAACAUUGUCCUCUUUUUCUCUUAUCUGAUGGUCCACUUUUUACUAUUGUUUGCUGACUCCAUCCAAGGAUGUUUUGUGUCUAUGUGUGGAGGCCCUAGGAUGCUCCUAAUCUGUGCAAAUCUCCCUAGAUGGCUCACCUAGUCCCACCUUGUUUCCAAAUCCAUCUCCCAUUGCUCAUCUUUCCUUUGAGCUCCACACUCACAUACCCAAAUUGAAUAUUCUCAUGAAUGACCAAGGGCUUCAUCUGAGUCUGACUCACCUGCUCAACUUGAUGUCUUCACCUUAAUGCCUAAUAGGUGGAUCUGGUUUGUUUAAGAGUCUUGAAACACAAAGAUGUGAAUGCAAAAUGUUUUCAUUAAUUAAUUUUGUUGCUUUUAUUUGUGCUUAUUUGAAUUGUACUCUUUUUCUUUUCUGAUUGGAAGUCCCCUUAACAUGAAAUUGACCUAAUCCCAUAAUCAAUCAUUUUAAGCUAUUAAAAUUUAAUUCAGCCCAGUCCAAAUCCUCAGUUUUUAAACUUGGCUUCUCCCCUUGUUCCAACAAAUUCUAGAGCCACAGUCUAGACACCUACUUUGAGAAUAGAGGGUUGUGAUCUAACUUGAGAUUCCAGCACCUACCCCUUUGAGAGAAGACAGAAGUCUCCUUAAGGAAUGGGCCUUUCUGGGCCUCCUCCCCUGACGUGGUACAGAUGCUUUCUUUUGGUGCUGUUGAGCUUUACUCCAUCGGAUACCUCUCAGAGAGCAGGGCAUCUCACUGACCAGUCAGUCCCUGUUUCUGCCCUUCUGUCAACUCAUUUGCAUCUCUGCUGGGAGCUGAAGGAGCCCUUGUGGUCCUUCUCCACAUCUUCUGAGCACUGUAGAGAACAAAGAAAAAGUGGAUUCCCAAUCCCCUUCUCCCCCAAGGCAGACAUCUCCCAGGAGGCUGUUGACCACACUCUGCACCACUGGCAGUUCCUAGGGGGCCUACACCAGGCAUGCAGCCCAGAAACCAGAGACUGUUCUGAUCGUCACUGAGGCACCUCAAAAUGGUGUUGCAUUGUGUGUUUCUCAUGCUACACAAACACCCAAGUAAAAGAUACCCCCAAAUCUCUGGCUCCUCAAAAUUCUUUUUCUUGGAUCUGCCUUUCAGCCAGGCCUGCUCUGCCAUUUGAAGCUGUUUGCCCACAUGUUGCAGGGUGGGUGGUGACUGAUCUAGGCUGUGUGGACUGGGCAGUUUUGCUUUAGGCAGCAGGUUGGCUUGGGGACUUUCUCCAAGUGUCUCUCAUUCUUCUCUUGGGAUCAGUCACUAACAGGCACUGGCACAGUACCAGAGGGUGUACUUGAGCAUUUGAGCACAGUUCUUCUGUCACAGCUGCACAUCCUGUUGGCCAAGAAAGAUUUCAUGGUAAAUCUAAAGUCCAGGGCAGAGGAAAUAUUUUCCCUCUUCCAUGGGUACUGUGAAGUUACAUGAGUGAAGGUCACAUGUGUGUGUGUGUGUGUGGCGGGCGGGGGGAGAUUGGGGCUAGUAAUUCAACUCACCAUGCCAUUCUCUGCCAUCUCCCAGCAGUCACCUCUUUUUUUUUUUUAAUUUUUUAUUGUUGGCUGUUCAAAACAUUACAUAGUUCUUGAUAUAUCAUAUUUCACACUUUGAUUCAAGUGGGUUAUGAGCUCCCAUUUUUACCCCGUAUACAGAUUGCAGAAUCACAUCA